rnacentral:rRNA from 1 species
GAUGAACGCUGGCGGCGUGCUUAACACAUGCAAGUCGAACGAGAAAUGGAGACGGAAACCUUCGGGCGGAAGGCUUCAUUUCGAGUGGCGGACGGGUGAGUAACGCGUGGGUAACCUGCCUCAUACAGGGGGAUAACAGUUGGAAACGACUGUUAAUACCGCAUAAGACCACAGCACCGCAUGGUGCGGGGGUAAAAACUCCGGUGGUAUGAGAUGGACCCGCGUUCGAUUAGCCAGUUGGCGGGGUAACGGCCCACCAAAGCGACGAUCGAUAGCCGAUCUGAGAGGAUGACCGGCCACAUUGGGACUGAGACACGGCCCAAACUCCUACGGGAGGCAGCAGUGGGGAAUAUUGCACAAUGGGGGAAACCCUGAUGCAGCGACGCCGCGUGAGUGAAGAAGUACUUCGGUAUGUAAAGCUCUAUAAGCAGGGAAGAAAAUGACGGUACCUGAGUAAGAAGCCCCGGCUAACUACGUG